CCUACGGGCGGCAGCAGUGGGGGAUAUUGCACAAUGGGGGAAACCCUGAUGCAGCGACGCCGCGUGGGUGAAGAAGCGCCUCGGCGCGUAAAGCCCUGUCAGCAGGGAUGAAAAUGACGGUACCUGAAUACGAAGCCCCGGCUAACUCCGUGCCAGCAGCCGCGGUAAUACGUAGGGGGCAAGCGUUAUCCGGAUUGACUGGGUGUAAAGGGGUCGCAGACGGCGAAGCAAGCCAGGAGUGAAAGCCCGGGGCCCAACCCCGGGACUGCUCUUGGAACUGCGUGGCUAGAGUGCAGUAGGGGCAGAGGGAAUUCCUGGUGUAGCGGUGAAAUGCGUAGAUAUCAGAAGGAACACCGGUGGCGAAGGCGGUCUGCUGGACUGCAACUGACGUUGAGGCCCGAAAGCGUGGGGAGCAAACAGGAUUAGAUACCCCAGUAGUC
rnacentral:rRNA from 1 species